rnacentral:rRNA from 1 species
UACCAGGCACCCCGAGUGGUCGGGACGAUUAUUGGGCCUAAAGCAUCCGUAGCCGGUUCUGCAAGUCUUCCGUUAAAUCCACCUGCUCAACAGAUGGGCUGCGGAGGAUACUACAGGGCUAGGAGGCGGGAGAGGCAAGCGGUAGCUCAGUGGGUAGGGGUAAAAUCCUCUGAUCCACUGAAGACCACCAGUGGCGAAGGCGGCUUGCCAGAACGCGCUCGACGGUGAGGGAUGAAAGCUGGGGGAGCAAAGCCGGG